rnacentral:lncRNA from 1 species
GCUUCAACUUCAUCUGAGCCUUUUUUUUCUUCCAAUCUGACUAGAUGAUACAGGUGAGACCAUGUUACAAGUAACAAAUACUGCUGAUCUAAUACACAGCUUCUACAACCCAAAUUAAUUUUGAAAAGUAUUAAAAGAGGGAUUGUCCAAGUUCAAAUUCAUUAUCACAAGGCUAUCUAACUAUAAAUAACCAGUCAGUCCUCAGACCUACAAAGAUACUUUUUGUCUGACCUACUAAUUCAUCCCAAAAUUCCAACAGAUCAACAAGAAGUCAAUCAAAAGAUGGUCUACAAAAACGACCUAAUCAACCCCAUUUCUUCACUUCACAAUAUCCACAACAUGCAAUACAUACGAUUGCACAUAUAUCCCACCAUACAAUUGAUCAAAAUAUCAACCGUUUUCAGAUCCCAAUCACAUGCGGACUGUCCUUUACUCCCAUCUUAUCCAUGUUGGCAAAAUCCUAUUUUGGGGAACUUUCUUGUUUACAAAGACUUUCAGGAUGCCCAUUCAAAUCUCAUAGAUAUCCUUUCACCAACUAAAAUCCUCAUGUUGGUCUAUCCACCUGGUUCCAAAUUACCUUACGUAAUAUUUCCUCCAGAUAUUGCUUCUCUCCAGAAGUUAAGUGCUACCGGUCUAUCAUCAUUCUCCACUUCUUGAAGGGUAUCUUUGAAUAAUGUCAUUAUCCAAUAUGUAAAGACAUAGUCAAUAUUGACAUCUUCCAACAUGCAUAUCCUUGCUCCAUUUUUAAAAUGGAUUGAAGGUUCCUUAUUAAAAAAUGGAAAAAUAUACUUACUCACUGUUGUUACAUCUAUAUGGCCUCAAUUGAAUCAAUAACUUUCCAUGGAAACCUCAAAGUCUUCUACUAUUGUUCUUGUCUCAGUCUUUCUAUUCUAUCUGGAGUAAUGAGAAAGUUUAGCAUUGAUCUAUACCCACGAUUGGUUAAGGCACUUUUAAAAAAAUAGCCGCUUGAUCAGCCUAGGUGCUUGCCAAGGAUUAGGAAGUCCACUAGCAGCCCCCUUGGUAAGGGCCCACCACCAAAGCAACUUCCAGCAAGCAUCAAAGUGGCCAUCCAUAUUGAACCAUAUCUAUAACAAGUAACACACUGACAGGUAAUCAACAUGAUACGAGGGCAUCUAAUUCUAACAACCAAUAAGUAUUGCUUUGAUACGCAUGCAAUGGUAUUGUGGUAUGACCUUGUAUGAAGAGUUUAAAUCUUGGUAUCAGGCCUCAUCCAACGUUUGCUUCUAGGAUAGUAUGGUAGCAGGACAAGAUGGUAGAGUCAGGAUGCAAUGAAAUAGAAAGAAAAAAGAAACAUAAAAAAUUGUCUCGAUACAUCCUAACACUUGAGAUGCACUGGGAUAUCCCAGUUCUUGGUCUCCUGUUGGAACAGUAAUGAUACCAGCAGUACCCUCUUGUUUCUGAUGGUACUUAAAUCCUUGCCUUGUACCCUGCUCUUUAAGUUCCUAACCUGAUUCCCCCCAUAUUGUGCCUUUGUUUUCCAGGCUAGAUAGUCUAGAACCUUCCCCCAUUGGUACUUUUGUUAGAAGUUUUGGAGUUUUAAUGAUUUUUUGUGAUUUUUCUUGGAUUAUGUAAAGGAUUUUGUUGAUCUUUCUUGUUUAUCCAAACACCAAUCCUUGCAGCUGGCAAAAGCUUCAAACCUUUUUUAAGCCCUCCCUCCCUUAGUUCCAUACUGUAGAAAGAAAGAGAGGGAGACUACCAUUUAUUAACCACCUUCUCUUGAUUCAGGCUUCAGGUUCUCUUGUGAUCUAUAUUUUUGGCACCUUUGCAGAAUGCCUUAUGCUAGUACUUUGUGGCUAUUCAUUUCAUAGGAAUAGGUCCAACUAGCUAUUGGGUUUCUCAGUUGACAGCCUAUUGUUGUCUUAUCUCCAGGCUGACCAUUUUAUAGAACUGUAACAUCUUCCAUACUUCCAAUCAACAAAAGGUUAAUUAAAAAGCAAAUAAAGUUAAUUAAAACAAAAAAAAAUCAGAACUCUAUAUCCUAAUAUAGAACAAAAUAGCAAUAUUUAAAGCAAGAUCCGCUGUACCAGUACUGGUCGGCGUACCGGUGGCGGCCCGGACCGGUCCGAACCGGUCCGUACCGGUUCUCCAACAAUAAACCACCAGUACCGGAUUCCACGCUGAUCUGGUACCGGUCCCAGGCCGGACUGGUAUGGCAGACCAUGAUUUAGAGUUAAAGAAAAUACAACAAACUGAAAUAUUUUGAACACGUUGCCUCAUCAAGAAAAUAAGGAUACUUAUUUUGAACCUGUGGGGAGGCACAUCCUUUAAUACAAGGGAACCAGCUGCAAUCAUAGCACCAUCACCUACUACAAUAUUACCAAGGAUUGUCGUACCAGCUCCAAUAAGAGCACCUUGACAUAUUUUAGGGUGUCGAUCUCCAAUUUGCUUACCAGUCCCUCCUAAUGUAACACCCUGUGACCAAAUUUUCAUAUGUAGAGGCAUUCGUUUUUAGAAAUGAAAGGUUUAACAUAUUAUUAAAGAUAAAAUAAUAGCCAAAGAAACCAAAAGAUAAGUAACAAUCUAGAUGCUAAUUUUAAAUACACUAAUUUGAACAAGAAUGAAUAAAUGGUAGCAAAGUUAUUAAUUCCUCAACAAAAAAGGAAAAUACAAAACAAGAUGGACAAGAACUACAAUGAUUAUCAGAACAAAUGUAGGCAGAAUCCAUAUUCUAUCGGCUCCUCUUUACCUUUGAGAUUCUGUUUUCUUUAUUUAUUAGAUAAAACAUAAAGGGAUACACCUGUCUUUCCCUUAGAAAAAGGAAAAAACAAAGAAAUAUCGAAUUCAUUGUACUUUCCCUCGACAUUUCAAUUGCCUUGUUGUCACAGCUAGUUUCUUACUUCACAUUUAAAAUAAGUCUAGUGCUCACUAUGAUGGAUUACAUAUCCAAUUUUAGCAAUCCAACCAGUCAAGCUAAAGCCAAAUAUUGUCUCAAGGAUUUCACAUUGCUUCAUGUGAAGUAUUAGUCUUUGCACAAUAUUAUACAUGGCACACCUUAUAUUCAAUCAAUAUUGACCUUAGCAAAAGGAAAGCAAUAAAUAUAUGAAGAUAUUACAGGUCUUAGUUUCAUUUCACAAGUCAAGGAAGUCAGUAGUUUCUUUUGGUUGCAGAGAAAGCUAGUAGUUGAGAUAAGAGAAGCUGACUGCUACAGCAAUGAAGAUAUACCUUUUGACUGGUAACAUAGUUUAAUAAGUAGCUUCAAUUAAUUGACAGGUCUAUAUGUAUACUAUAGCAGUGUGCUCACCAAACUACAUCAAUAUCUGCCACUUAUUCCUCAUUGUAUUGGGUAAGAAGAAAAAGAAAUGAGGGAUGUAACAACAUAAAAGAGGAAAAAAAGAAGAGAAAGAAUAAAAUGGAAGGUUUGCUAAUUUUUUAUUUCUACAUGAAGGGUGCUUGAAUUAUUUUAAUGAUGAAUAUUCACUCCUUACAAAGGUUCAUCAUCAUUUGCCUAUGAUAGGGUGACAGGCCAAAAAAAAUUCAAUGCAAAAAAUAAUUUCAACUAUCUCCCUCAAGCCUUCUCAACCGCUGGCCUCACAUUUCCUCACUAGUAGUCAGGUACUUACCCCAAUUAGGACUUCAUGGGGUCGCACUGGCAGAACAAGUGUAGCUACUACCUUAAAUAUUUUGGUUGUGUGUUACCAAAUUAGAGCAAUGCCAAUAGUGAAUGGUCAAAUCAUAAGUUACUAAAUGAUUCUUCAUGAUUAAACAGAACUAAAGCAUUUUUAACAGCAGGAAUAACAAAAGGACACUAGAUAUUAGACUUGGACCAUAAGUGAAUUUAAAAAUAUCCUAGCUAGUUACAUGUCCAAUACAGAACUAAACCACAAGUUAACAGCUGCAGAAACUUCUGACGGACCUUCAGUUCCAACUCCAUAUUACUACAAAAUGAUGCUUAUCUUUUACUUAUACUAAACAAACACCUUGGUGCAGUCAUAAACAGAAGUUGUCAACAGUAGGUGAAAGAUGGGUAGGGCUAGCUUGGGUUGGGUUGGGUUGGGUCGGGUCAAGUCAAGUAAGGACUCUUCGACUAGUACCCGCCCAAAGGACAACCUGACAAAAAUGUCCCAUUACCUACUCUGAUGCACAUGACUCAGCUGGAAACUAUCCAACCCAGGCCAUCUAUCAACCAUUGUUAAAAAUCUUACCCACAAAAAUGACCCAACCAACACAACCCUAAAAACAAUGAUCUCAUGACUUGAGUUGGAUGAAAGCUCUGGUGCAUACUUGACUUAUUAAAAUCCAGGUCAAGAAACUUGACUCAACCCUGAUCCAAACUGAAAAACUCCAGCAUCAAGCCCAGCAGAAAUAGGGUCCUGUCUCAUUAAGCUUUUCAACAGGCAGUUUUUACCACCUGUAGGCAACAAAUCCCUAUAAAGGCCCAAAUAUUUUUCAGAAUCCUAUCUGAAAGAUAGAAGGGCCAUAUGUGUAGAUUCCCUCCAGAAACUUAUGAUUGUCAAAGUUCAGCAUUUUUUUAUCAUCAAUAAACUUCUAUUUAAAUUUAGUCUAAAGAAGCUGAUUCUUGAUACUGAAAAACUCACCUAGGUGAUAAAUUCAGUCAAGUUAGUCCCCCUAGAGUUUUUCCCCACAAGAUACCAACAAGAACAUGAAGCACUAGAGAGGCAUUACAGGGAAGGAAAAUGAUUGCUGUCAGUAUAUCCAUCAACACAUGAGAUGCAUGAAAAGAAAGAUGUAUACUUGCCUGCAUUAGAGAAACACAAUUUCCUACAACAGCUGUUUCACCAAUAACUAAACCUGUUCCAUGAUCCAAUAAUAUUCCAUCUCCAAUUCUUGCAGCUGCAUAGUAUUAUAACAAGGAAUCAGAACUGAGUGUGACAUAUAUUUCACAGCAUUGGAGCUUCAAGCACUUGCUAAAACAAGAAAAAGAGCAACGGAAAUGACAUAAGUUGAAUCUUAAGAAUCAUAAAUAAGACAAUAUAUGCAGAUCAAGAGUGCCUUAUUCUUAAAACAAUAUGAAUACACAUGUUGGUGAUUUAAGUGAUAUAAUUGUGACUAUAGAAAAGGAACCGCUCCCUAUAAUUGGUGCCUAGCAAUCUUAUUUCAGUUCACUGGAACAGUUUCCAAUUUAUUUGACUGGACCAAUCUAACAUAUUCAUCUAGAAUUGAGGGGCAAAAGUCUGUGACUGCUGCAUUUUUUUAAAAUAAAAGCAGUGGAAGAUAUAGAAGAGGUAUCUAGGCUAGAAUGGACGCAAGGAAAAGCCAUCUUUUUAAGGCUCUCAGUCUCAGGAUACUACUGAGACCUAAAUGUACUGAUUUGGGUCAGUGAAAAGGCAUACAAGAGUUAGUGAGUUUUGUAAUUCGCAUACAUAAAACUAUUAAAUAUGUUGUGUUAAAAGGGAAGGGUAGAACUGACCUUUUAAUUGUACAGCAGUCAAAGAUGAAAAUGGAUUUGGAAAAUAACUAGUUUGGUAAAGUGGGCAUCCUGACUAAAUUUUAAUGUAAUUUGCCCCACCCCAAAAAAUAAACUAUUGAAAUAUCUGUUGAUAAGGCCACACACUUACCAUCCAUCACAUGUAAAUCAUCAAAAGUUUGGAACAAUAACAUAUUUGGCCAAGUAUUGAACAAUACAAUAAUGAUACAGGAUACUAAAACCUUUUGAAUUCUCAAUUGUUCACUAGUGAAUUUCUAGAUUCUUGCCACAAGGCAAACUAGGCUGUUUUUUAAAUUGAAUUUCUGAUAUUGUGCCUUUCUUGAUUUUGUGCCACCAACUGCUAUGGGAAGUCAAAAAUGUCAUAUGUUCCUUCUUUAAAAGAUAAAAAUGGGCCCACAACAAUAAGAGAAAAAUCUAGUGCUAGCUGUUACAGCGGAAAGCCUAUCCUAAGAUGACAGCAUCUCCGUGCAAUCUUGGAUAACCCAAUUUGUUGUACUGUUUUUUUAUGAUUUCCUUCUUUAUGUGUGUAAGUCAAUGAAGGGACCAACUUGCUUGUAAAACGUGUGACCCGCCUCUCUAGAGAGAAAGGGAGGCUCUCUAUACAUGGCACUAGUUCGCUGAAAACAUCCCCUUGUUUGAACCCUUGGUUCAGCCGUUCUGAUUCCCCUUUUCUCUCCUUUUUCCCUUCUCUCUAUACACUGUUCAUUAUCCAUUUUUCUCUUCAUUUCAGGUUUUUGUUCUUCUAUUUACUGCGCCAGUCACAGAUCUAGUCACAAGAUCCAAUUAAGAAGCUUUCAAACCCCUAAUCCUCACAACUGACACUAUAUCCACUCUAGAUCUGACAACCUACAGGCCGAUCAAUAGAGAUAGUAAAAUAGAACCCACUGAACCUUCUUUUUGUCCGUUCGGAUCAAUUAGCAUAUCUGGGUUUGAAACCUUCGGCAGAUGACCAUUAAUAAUGCAUAUUACCCCAUGGUCCCCAUCAAAAAGUAAUCCUUCAGAAUUCCAAACCAACGAACAACUAGAGAUCUACAACCAGAUACAUUACCAAAUUUUAUCUCUUCGUACAUUCUGCAGACGACUACCACACAACCCUCAUAAACCAGUCAUAAACCCAUAAACAAGAUUCCAGUAUCAUCCUUGAUUAAAACUAACCUACAUACCCCAUAUACUCACCUGAACAAAGUAUCCUAGCUCCUCAGUCUACCUAUUUCCUUAUUGAAACUCUAAACUAGCAAUAUAGGGGUGUGAUCAAGCUGAACUGGGUUUCUGAUCAAGCUUGACUCACCUGUUAUUUGAUCAAUUUAAUCUUUGUUGCAAAUCAAGCCAAACACAAGCUUGAUCUAUCAGCUUGAUAACCUCCAAUCAAACUGAAAUCAAUUCAAGCUUGAAUUUAGCUAUUUCAAGCAUGAUUCAGAGUUUCAAACUUGGUUCAAGCUUGAUUGAAGUUUAGUUCCAGCUUUCAAUUAAAAGUUAACUAAUCCAAAUAAUUUAAUUUAGAAGACAAUUAGCAUUUAAUCAUAAAACAUAAAUUUUGAAUAAUUUUUUGGUAUAAAUUUAGAAUAAAUUAUUAAAUAUACUCCAAAAUAUAUGAUCAGUUCAUAAACAUAAUAAUUUAUUAUAACUAUUAAGUAAAGCUUUUACAUGGUAGUCUAGAUCUAAUAUAUAGUACCAUACAUAAUAUAUAGUAUAUUGUAUUUUUCAGCCUUAUAAAGCCACAUUUAAUCUAACCGGAUCAAUUGCCAGGUUAACUUGAAUUAGAUUCAAGCCUAUGAACAAAGUUCAAGCUUGAUUCAACUUAAUUCAAAUUGAGAUUUUUUUGAGCCUAAAUCUAGCCAAUCUCAAGUGAGCUCAAGAUCCUCAGAGCAAUUGAUGGCCCUACUAGUGUAUCAAAUCAUUUUGCACUAGAGGGUAAAAUCUAGAACUUAGUGAAGGUGUUGAAUUCUUGCUUGAUGCUGCACUAGGCUAUUUAUCUUAGUAGAUCAAUUUUGGCUUCUUCAAAAGCAUAAAGUGUAUUGAGAAAAAGCAACCACUCUCUUUUUCUAAUUUUGCUUGUAGAUGAAGCAUUGGAAUUGCAGCUGGCCUGCAUGUGCAGGGAGGGGGGUGGAGGAUGAGAACACAUGCUGGGGUAGUAGUUAUUCAUUUCAAUUCAAUGAAAAACUAUUUAUCUUCCUAUUUGUUACUUCCCAUCUAUUUUUCUGGUAAGAUGGAUAUAUUAUACUAUUCAAACUUCCUUUCUGGUCACUAAGAUCUUUAAAGGCUAUGCAAAGAUUAGUUGCAUUACCUUGAAGAGAAGAUGUCAAGUUAUACUAGAGAAAAUGAAAGAACUAUGACUUCUAAAAGCCUUUGGCUGGGUUUUAGUUUUGAAGUUUAAUAUGCUAUCUUGGUUACGAGGGGCCUGUUAGAAGCAUGUCCUACAAGCCAAUGUGGCUGGCGCAUACUUGUAAUCUGGGGCAUAAAUUUGUAAUUUGACACUUAUUAAUAAAUAAGAUUAGGCAAUUUAUUUUUCAUUCAUGUUUGCCUGUGUCCAUGAAUCGUCCAAGAAAUUAAUAGAUGAUGGCACAUAUUCUCAAGGAGUUGAGAAUUUGAGGCAUGUGUCAUUAGAUAUUAAUUUCUAAAUGCUCCUGAUCGAUGGAUCCAUCACGUGGGACGGUGAUCGAUCCGAUGAGAUUAGUGCAUAGAUCACUUAGAUGGAUGAGUUUCGAGUCCACAGUGUAGAGACACUAGAGUGAUUAUGCAAGUACUUGUUAGAUAACAAAGUACUGAGCGUGACCAAAGAAAGUAAUCACAUGGAUGUCUAUCCACUCGUCAAUGACUACUCAUGCUGCAGUUGUAUGACUGGUCCUUUGACCGGCGAUGCCUCAGCUAUUCACUGUGAGAUUACUGUAGUUUGACGAGCAUGUGAACUUGGGCCCUAGCCAUUUGGAUCCUUGUGGUGCGGAUUGGCUGCAGUAGGUUCAUUUUGGAAUAGGGUUGCAUUUAGAUGGGAUAUAUCGACCUUGAUAGAUUAGGAGUGAUCAUAUGUAAUUUAUGAGACUGAGUUCGAUAAAUUUCUGGUCAGGUAUUUUGGAAAAAGAGUUUUCCAUAUCUCGAAUUGGAAGUCGAAUAAAUUUGACAUAUGACAGAUGAUGGGGUUUGACGAAAUAUCCAUAACCUCCGUCACGUCGGAAUCCAUAAUAGAGGGACUGUAUCAUACGCUAACUGCACCUAGAGGUUCAGACAUUUCAUUCUGCUAGGUUGCCACCAUAUAUUGUUAGGUAUCACUAGUGGAUUGUAAACUCGAAGGCAUUCACUUGGUGAUCAGUGAACCCUGAGAGUAGAACUGAAAUUGUUUCAGUCCACUGAAAAGAGUUUCAGUGAUAUUAAGAUAGAGAUCUCAAUAUGUCUCACUACCAGUCAGAAUAGAACCUAUGGGAUCACACACAUAGAGGAUUUAAUUAGUCAGACUAUCAUAAUUGUGAUUUGGAAUCAAAAUUAAAGUCAAUUAUCAAUAUGAUUGGUAAUUGAAUUAACCCACUAAGUGUUAGUGAGUUAAUGGAAGAAGAAUUAAGUGGAAUUGAUUGUAAUUGGAUUGCAAUUGGACUGAUUUAAUGAGCCAAAUCAAAUUGGAUUUGACCCAAAUUGAUUUGGGUACAUAAUUGGGUAAAUUUGAUUAAACCAGGGUUUGUGCAGAUUAAAGUCCACAUGUAAUCGUAGGAUGAAUAUAACUUAAGUCGUGUUCACACUAUGCGGACUUUAAAGACCACAUGGCAUCGUAGGAUAAAAAUGUCAUAAGUCAUAUGCGGACUUUAAAGACCACAUGGCAUCGUAGGAUAAAAAUGUCAUAAGUCAUAUGCGGACUUUAAAGUCCACAUGUCAUCGUAGGAUGAAAAUGACUUAAGUCGUGUUCACACUAUACGGACUUCAAAGUCCACUUGUCAUGCAAUGGUUGUAUGGCACCAUGGAUACAUGGAUUGAACACUUGGCAUUCAUCCAAAGGUUGAGUAGUUAUGUAGAGUUUAUCUCUUAGUCUAGAUAAGCUCUUUUGAAAACCCUAGACCCAUCUAUAAAAAGGGGUGGGGCGUAUGCAUCCUUGACUCCACGCCUCCUCUCUUCUUCUCUUCUCCCUUCCCACGGCAGCAAGAGGCUUCCCUCUUCCUCCCACGGCAGCAAGGGUUAUCAUCCUCUUCCUUCUCCAAAGUGUUGAAAGAAAGAAGAAGAAGCAAGGGAAGAGAAGAGAUCAACUCGCCAAAGAAGAAAGGGNNNNNNNNNNNNNNNNNNNNNNNNNNNNNNNNNNNNNNNNNNNNNNNNNNNNNNNNNNNNNNNNNNNNNNNNGUGGGGAGGCACAUCCUUUAAUACAAGGGAACCAGCUGCAAUCAUAGCACCAACACCUACUACAAUAUUACCAAGGAUUGUCGCACCAGCUCCAAUUAGAGCACCUUGACCUAUUUUAGGGUGUCGAUCUCCAGUUUGCUUACCAGUCCCUCCUAAGGUAACACCCUGCAUUAGAGAAACACAAUUUCCUACAACAGCUGUUUCACCAAUAACUAAACCUGUUCCAUGAUCCAAUAAUAUUCCAUCUCCAAUUCUUGCAGAAGAAAGGGUUCUUCUUCAAAGAGGUAUGUUGCUGAUUUUUCUUCCAAUCUUAUGAUAGUCAUGAGAGGUCUUUGCAAGGAGCUAGCACUCCGGUAAGACCUUAUCUCAGAUGAUUAAAUCCUCAUGUGGAUACUUGUAGAGGCCGGACACGUGUGCGGCUUAAACAGGAACUUAGAAAGAUCAUCAGGUUGUGGUGUUCUACACCUGCAGAAAUGUUGAAGAUGGGAUCUUCAAAUUAAUAACUUCUGAUUUUUGUUUCAGUUUUAUGAAUCUUAGUCAACCUUCCUCAGAAGUCAGAUCCUAAUCUACCCUCCCUAAUGAGUUCAAAGGUCUUCUGGAUUUGGAUCCAGAAAAAUUUUUUGAAUUCUAUGUUCCAAGGCGCGUUCAUGCGAUGAACGACAUCCCGUGUGAAUUUCGCUACGAAUGUCGCAUCGCACGGGGCGUAUCUCAGCAGGGCCACAUAUAUAUAAUGGAUGAAAUAAGAAGCCUUUACCCAGUGUGUAUUACUCAACAAUGAGAGGAUCAUAUUGGCUUAUUGGGAACCUAAAGGUUUCUAAAAUGGCUACACUAGGAAUCUCGGGGGGACAUAUGAUGGAGCAGAACUCCUUGGGUGAGGAGUCAGGUUUAGGGUGGAAGGUGCAUUAUCUUCUCUUAGAAUAAAAUGUAGUAUAGCAUGGCUCUAGGUUGUAAAUAGGAUAGUUCUGCAGCAAAGUGAAGCAGUCAAUCUUAUAGAAUGAAGGUCUAAGUCUUUUAGGUGUCCGACGGUAUAAUGUUGUGGGAUGUGCAGUUGAUGCUGUUGAGUUUUUGAUAGUGUGUAUCCAAGUAAUUCAGGCAGGACGCAAGUCAGAAUUUGAGGAUUGAUGUCUCUUGUAAAACAGGAAACCGAGGACACAUCUUGACUGUUGUUCCACUUGAUAUACUCAACAUUCACUUUCUAAAUUUAGUGCCAACAUUUGGGGUCUCAUCAGACCAUUUAAGUUAUGGAUCUUAAUCAGUUUCAGUACUGACAAUAUGGUUUCUCGGGUACCCUGACAAAAUCAGUCUGCUCAUCUCACAAACACAUAUUCCCAUGCUAUCAUACCCCAGAAGCUAUUAAAGAGAAAAAGAAAAAACAGAACAAUAUCUCACUAGUAAAAUAUGGUGAACUACUUCUUAAUGAGCUGGAUGGCCGUCCAAAUCUUCAAUUCUCACCUGAGGUGGGUUUCUCUUGCCCUUCUUAGAUGAGGGCCAAAACUUUUUGCAAUGUGGGUCUUCGGAGAGCUACUGGUGAGUGAGAUAAAAAGAUGCUUUUCAAAUAUCACAUCAAAUCAAAAUAAGAUUGAUGGCAAGUUUGUACUAUCAAUAAAUCUAAGAUAUGGUCUACCAAUGAAAUCACAAAAGGUAAGAAACCAACAUAUAGAGAUGGGCCCAUGACAUUACAUGGAAAAGAAGAUCAGCAUGUAAUGACAUAGCUAUCUUAAUUAGCAAAAUACUUUAGGCACAAAUCAAGUAAAUGAUUGAUUACCACUUCGUUUACAAGAUGACCUUUUUCUUAACCUUUAGCACAGGCUUAAGACCAUCCAUAACGUACUCAUUUCACUAGUCAUGUUAUGCAACCCACAAAGUCUGACAAUAUUUUACAAUAAGCUCUCAACAUGAUUCCAACCCCCUUAGUUGGUGUUAAAUUCUGGUGAACACAACUUCAGCAUGUGAAAGGACUGCCAAUAAACCUAAAAAGCAUGAUGGCAUGUAGUAAAUCUACAUUUUUGGAUCUUGAUCAUGCACAAGAAGAUUACAAAAAAGACUGGAGCCCGGUUUAUUAUAUAUGCCCUUCAAACUACAUCCAUUUCAAGGUUCUUUCUUUCACUAUUUAUUUAUACAUUUAUUUAUUUAUUUAUUAAGGUGGAAACAAGUCCACAAAGUUAAAACAAACUGCCAACUUUCAGAUCAACCAACAUAAC